AACGUCAAGGUUAGCCGGAGAAGACAAAGAACGACCACUAGUUUCGCUGGAACACGCCGGAGCAAAAACCACCGUACCCGUCUUCAUCACCAAACUUUUUCCAACGGAGAGCUUCAUCGAUGACAGUCCCGAGAUCUCAUCCAAAGUCACCGGAAACACCUUUGACGAUUUAAAACCACACCCAAACCAAUGAAUUUCACCCUAAGGCUCAACAAAACGAACCGUCGCUCCACUCCGAUCUACGAAAUCACCAAAGAUUAAACCGCCUACAAUCGAUCCUUCCGCGC
rnacentral:lncRNA from 1 species